AUGGGGCUCUGCGCGUCGUUGCUGCAGCGGAGGACGGAAAGGCGGUACCCCGAGCCGAGGCGCGGCACGGCGAAGGCGCUGUUCGUCGUCAGAGGCGACCGCCGGCCGUCGAACCCAGAUGCGCUGGUGGUCCGGGUGCAGGACUCCGGUCGAACACAGCUCCGGAGACAUGGCAGGGAGGAGUGUGGAGGAGGACACGGGGGGUGCUGGCGACAAGGCACCAACGCGCUGGACUGCAUGAUCACCCGCGCUCGGAUGCCCCGGCUGCCUUGCGCCGGCACCGGAACCGUCGGGGUCGAGCCGGACGCAGCGGCCCCGGUGACGCCGACGCUGCCCUCGCCGGCCAUGACACCCAUGAGCGGGGCACCGGCGGCACCGAGCACGCCGGCCUCGGCAGCCAUGACGCCGGGCCGGCCGGUGUGGCAGAGGAGGAUACUGAUGGGGAUGCGGUGCGAGCUGCCGCGAUUCAGCGGGCUCGUGCUGUACGACGAGCACGGCCGGCCCAUCCCGGUCGGCACCCCGGGCAGAAGAAACCACCGCCAGGGGAAGAAGAAGACUGCCAGGACAUCUUCCACCACAACUCUCAGGGACCUCCUAUAG
rnacentral:rRNA from 1 species